rnacentral:rRNA from 1 species
CAGUAGCCGCGGUAAUACGGAGGAUCCAAGCGUUAUCCGGAAUCAUUGGGUUUAAAGGGUCCGUAGGCGGUCUUGUAAGUCAGUGGUGAAAGCCCAUCGCUCAACGGUGGAACGGCCAUUGAUACUGCAGGACUUGAAUUAUUGGGAAGUAACUAGAAUAUGUAGUGUAGCGGUGAAAUGCUUAGAGAUUACAUGGAAUACCAAUUGCGAAGGCAGGUUACUACCAAUUGAUUGACGCUGAUGGACGAAAGCGUGGGUAGCGAACAGGAUUAGAUACCCGAGUAGUCCCUGUAUCUUAUAC